UCUCAAGGAAGUGUUCUUAACCAAUGAGA
rnacentral:piRNA from 1 species